UCCUGACGCAGCGGGAGACCUGUCACAGCACCUAAUCUGUGCAGCCACACCGCUUCAUGAGCAGGGACCAGGCUCUGCGCAGGGAUCCAGGCAAAAUCCACACCACCGGCUUGUGGAUUACCUUCUCUCCUUUGAAUUCACCUUGCAUUUUAUUCAUGUUUUACUUACUGCUAUUUCUCGACCCUUUGGGUCACUUCUCCAGCCCCCCGCCCCAAAGAGUUCACAUGUGCUCCUCACGUCCGUUAGUGCUGGGCUGCCUCAGUGCAUCUGCCCAGCCUGAACCUGCAGCAUAGCUGCACUCCAGGGACUCCUUUCACUACAAUUCACUUGCCCCUGCCUGCUUGCCUAGUUGCUUCCCAUCUGGGAUGGGAUAAUCCUGCCCUCACAGCCCCUCUCUGCCCUAGCUGCUCAGACUCCCUCUGCAGCCAUUUCUUUAUUUGCUAGGUUUAUAUGCUACCUGUCUCAAAAAGGCCAGAGUGGCUAACAAUAUGAGGGGCGAAGAACAACAGAAACAGAAUAAAACAUUAACAUAAGAACAACCAGCCCACCCUACUUGGAGAAGAAA